UACAGAGGGGGCAAGCGUUGUUCGGAAUUACUGGGCGUAAAGGGCGCGUAGGCGGCCUUCUAAGUCGAACGUGAAAUCCCCGGGCUCAACCCGGGAACUGCGUCCGAUACUGGAAGGCUUGAAUCCGGGAGAGGGAUGCGGAAUUCCAGGUGUAGCGGUGAAAUGCGUAGAUAUCUGGAGGAACACCGGUGGCGAAGGCGCCUAUCUGGCCCGAUACUGACGCUGAGGAGCGAAAGCGUGGGGAGCGAACAGG
rnacentral:rRNA from 1 species